rnacentral:lncRNA from 1 species
GUAGAGCUCAAAACUCAUCUUCAUUCCUUUUUUCAGAUUUUGAAGAUUGGGCUUUCAAUUCUGUGUUUCAUACAGCUGUAGGAGCCUCCUCUGUCUGUUCCUUUCCUUUCUCCUCAUCGCUCCCGCUGCCAGCUUUAUAUCCAUUUUGGGAAAGCUUCUGCUCUGAAGGCAGAUUCUGCCUGGCUUUUCUGCUUCCCUCGAUCUUCCACAGAUCCCACACACGGGUUUUUGGAGGAGGUGAUGAAUCUGCUAUUGGUGCAACCAAGCCCGGCUUCCCAUCAUCUAUAACAGCAUCUACCAACCCAUAUUCCUUGGCCUCCCAAGGGUUCAUGAAAUUGUCACGGUCUGUGUCCUCUUCAAUCUGCAAAGAAACAAAUGGAGUUGACAGUGAUGAUGAGCUGACAAGAAGAACAAUAGCGAAAAAGAUUGAUACUUGCAAGCAAUUUAAUUAUGAUCCCAACUGCUUACCUGUUUCUCAGGUUUUCCUGUGAUUCUUGACAAAAUUUUGUUCAUCUUCACCUUGUGGUACAUCAUUUCUCUAAUCCGUAACCCCAUGUCAGUUGUCUAACAAAACAAAAAAGAAGCAAGCACAAGUGAAAUUGAAAGAAACAAACUCCUUUGUUCAAGUGCAUUGGUGCAAGAACAUCUAAGUGAACGUAAUGCAACUACAACAUGCCUCAUUCAUAAUAUAAUUGGCUGGUAUAAAAAGACUUGCUUCCUAAUCAGGUCAGGUUAAAGAGCUAUAAAACCAUAAAAUAUCUCAUCAAAACAAUGGCAUGUUCAUGAGGGAAGAGAUUUUUCAAUAACCAGAGACUUUCACUCACAACUUCAAGGAUAUAAUAUCAACAAGCUUACCCAUCAACAUUAAGAUUUGACAAUAAACCACAAAACUAAAUCAACAGCAAUGACGAUACUAAACCAUUGCAUGGAACCAAAAUCAUAACCUAGCAAUGCAGAUUGUAAGAUACUAAUAGAAGUAGACUUAUCCAUUUGCAAAAUAAACAUGGAGCAAGGUUUUCAUUUUGGCUGAGAUAUGGCUGAUAUGUCAGCCAAGACCCAAGAUAUCAUUUGCAUCAGGUCCUUAUUUGGGCUGAUACAAAACCAUAUAUCCUGAGAUAACAGCGACAUGAUAUCAAUAUAUUGGCCAAGAUUUUCCAAUCUUUCUAUUACAAUUAUAAAUGGCUGCUUCUUUUUUUUUAAAAAAAAAAUAACAAUGAAUGCAUAAAAACAGUAUCAAAUUAUUGGCCAAUAUUUCAACAUGUUGACUCCUAUCCGCCAAGAUCUCAGAAUAUCUCAGUUCUUUAAAAAUUUUCUCAGUUUUCCACCGCAAUCAAGAUAAACUAAGAUCCAGUGUCAGUCACCCACCAAGGUAGCUGACAUCUCAGCUUAUAAAAACCUUAACACCUGGAAAGUAAGAGGCAGCAGCAAUCAAUCACUCACUUUGCCACCAGCUGUUCCUAGUGGUUGAUGAAUCAUGACCCUUGCAUUUGGCAUGCAAAAUCUCUUUCCUUUGGUUCCAGAAGCAAGCAGAAAUGCACCCAUGGAUGCCGCAAGACCCAAGCAAACAGUAGAAACAUCAGCCUUGCAUAAUUUCAUAGCAUCAUAUAUUCCCAUUCCUGAAAGUGUUGGUGUAAUGAGAAAAUUGACAUUAUAACAUUUAGAAAAUCCAACAUGCUAUUUAAUAUAAUAUGUUUUUCAACACAGCCGAUGCUUACGGUAAUAUGGCAAGAUAUAGAAUGAAAAGAAAAUUGAAAAGAAGGAUAAAAUAAUGUGAUCUGCAAACAUAUUGCAUUGAGCUUUACUUUCUCCAAGUGCCAGAAAUUUUUUUGAAUAUGUAAAUUUCAACUUUAAAUUUUACAGGACACUCAAGCAAGAUAAGAAGAUGAUGAAAAUAAAACAUAUUUCACAAGGCGCACAACAUACGCCCAACAUAAUAAAUAUUGAAUCACCAACCAGCAGAAAGAUAGUGACAUGCGAUUAAGCACCACAUCAUCAACAGAACAUUAGCUGUAGGUUCAGAAUAUCAUACAUUAUUAGUUAAUCCAAAUAAGAUCAGGUUGUGAAUCAUAACAUCCUUUGAAACCUAACUUUCCUUUGAAAAGACUAUUAAAUUGCCUAGUAUGAAAAGAACAUCAUCGAAUGAAAUGUCGAGUUUUUCUACCGAGUAAAACUGAAACAGACCUCAGAUCCUAAGCAAAAUAGAACUGCAUCAUUGCAAGAAACAGAUAUAUGGAAAAUAGCAGCCUUCACUAAUUUAGGUAAAACAUGUUGUCAACAACAUAAGGAAAUGAUGCUAAUGGAAAAUAAAAAAGAAAAGAGGAACAAUAAUAGUUGAGAAGUUGAAGGAGAUGAAGAAGAGAAGAUAGAAAGGACAGCACAGUCUAGCAAUAUGAGGGUCUACUAUUGGACUGGUGGAUCAAUAGAGAGCACCAUGUGAAUUAAACAUCAAGCGAGGGCAUAAACAAAUAUUUCAAUCAGAAUUAUGAGAAUCAAUCAUCAUAUCUAUUUGGUUCGAUAAAGUGAGGGUAUCUUCUUGCUCAUGGCCACGUCUCACAUGAUGCAACAAUUAAUGUCAGACUGUUUCUCUCAUGGACAAUUAACAAAUACAAAAAGCAGAAUCAAAUAAGAACUAAUUCCCUUCAAGUGUUUUAAAAUCAAAGAUAGCAUGACUUAUCAUUAUGUUUCUACUCAAUUGAAGUGAAGACCAGUGCGUGGGUGAGUUGUUGAUGGACUUUUUCUUAUCUAGAACUUGCACACCUUAAUUGGCUGUCGCAUUUUAGCAAUUGAAGAAGAAACUAACUGCAUGCUACAGAACAUGAAAUGAAGACCCCAAAUUCAGUGGAAACAAGAAAACAGAUGAUACCAGACAAUCAAAUAUUUGACUUCUAAAUUCUGAACAAGAAAGUCAGACUUUAAUGCAUCUUUUUUUUCUCCCCCAAAUAACACUUCAGCAAGCUGAAUCCUAAUUUCAAACAACAUAACAAACUAUGAGAUGUGAGACUCGAAAAGACUCACUCCGAAGAGCCGUUUUAGCUGUGAGAUGCAUCCAUAUUGUUGGUUUUGCCUUACGAAUUCCCCCCAAAAGCUGAAAUUUCAAGUCUACGUUGACGAUAAUGAGGAAAUCACCACAAUAUUAGUAGGAAGAAGCUUCUCUCUAGGAUUCUAGCUCAAAGACAAAGAAGAAGAAAUUCAGCAAAAAUAUAUUGAUGUCUCACCAACAAGAUUCUUCAGGGAAGAAGAAACCCUCAAUUUUUCUUUUUCUUUUUUUUGGCAGCAGAAAUAGAUUGGGCCUCUAAUCAAACCGUUGGAAAGCCACAAACUCUACAAUCUUCCAUUGAGGUGUAGCAGACAGAUGGAGGGCAUUGCCUGGUCCAAACAGAUCUUGGUAGCAAGAACAUAGGUGGGAUCAGCAGUGAUAUCUGCCGAUUCAUUUCAUUCAUGGUUGAUAUAGGAUGCUUUCCACUGUACAAGUUUGGAGAGGAUGUGGUAAAUCUCUGAGAUGUAAGGAUGAUAGCAAUUAGAGCUAGUGUCAUCAAUCAAUUGGAUAGUGGACCCCCCCCCCCCCCCCCCCCCAAAAAAAAACAACCACCACCAAUAAACAGCAUAUCUGUGAGAAUCCUCACUUUUUUGUUAAAACUAUGGAAAUCACAAUCCUACAGGCUAAAUGCUGAACCUAAUUUUUCUCUCAACCAUAUUUUGUACAGCAGGAAAAAAGGAAAAAGAGUCAUGGUGACAAUACAGAGGGGGCAACUAAUAUGCAGGCAUUGGACAACUAAGACACAUAAAAAUACUUCUAAAGAUCAGAUGGUGAGCUGGAAAAAGCUAAUAUAAAGGGACAGAAAUCAAGUGGAUUUAUGACUUAUGAAAAAGAGGGAAUAGAACAAAUCUAUCAUGGGUGAAUACCUUCUGAGAAAAUUUUUUUUAGGGGCUGUGUUGCUUAAGUCUUAUGGUGAAGAUUCAAUAAAUCUCAAUGGAGAUCAAACUUUGUGAGGACUUCUCCAAUCUGGCAAGAGUAAGGUUCGCUGAGAAUGUGCUUAGGCUGACACCUGGUUCCACUAGCCAUGCAGCUGGGUCUUCUGCUGUUUUAUUUUUUUCUUGCCGCUAUCAUCUCCCUCAUUUGAUAUGCUUCUUUUUUUUUUGCGGUAAAUCAGCAAUUUGCUUGCCUUUCCAAAUACUGAGGACUUAGUGUAAGAUUAUUUAUCCCCUCCAUGAUCUAUUUAUGCUAUUUUGGCUUUCAAAAUGAGAAUGAAAAGGAGAGACAGUGACAUAAAAUAGUUGAGGAUCUGGUCUACUAUAUUACCAUGUCAACAAUAUAAUAGUACGAAGGUUAAAAGUUAAAAUUGAGACGAACUAAGGAAAUACGAAAGAAAUAAGAACAAAAGAAAAUUGUGUGAGAUAAAAUUGAUGCAUAUGGUUCUUUUCUUUUUUCUAGCCAGCAAGUAUGAAUUGGAAGAAAUAAGAUAAAGUGAUAUCACCAGGUCUGGCUACAAGCAACAAAUCAAUUUAGACUCACUGGUACAGUAUUGAGCCUUUAAUACAUCAUUAACAACCAUGAACAAAAAUUAAUGAAGAAAGAAAGAAUGUUGACCUCUAUAAAAUUUAAAGCAAAGUCUGCUGAACCAUGCCGAACCAGCCGGUUCAGAGUGUACUGAAUCGGACCAAUUGGUUAUCGGCACGAUUCAACCCCUCGAUUUGGAACAAGUCAAUUUCUGUUGGUAAAUUUCAAAUUGAAGUUGGCAAAUGGUUUGUCGGCUUCAUUAGAAGAAAGUCGGCAAAUUGUUUACCGAUUUCAAUUCAAAAUUUUCAAAUAGAAAAUUCUCUGUUUCGUAACGGAACAGGACAAUCCCCUGUCAAUGAGGGCUUUCAAGCCCUCUCUCUCUCUCUCAGCCUCCUGUUUCCUUUCUUUCCCUCCCUCCCUUCCUC